AGAUGUGGGUGUUGCACAGUUACGGUGGGUGAGUGUGAGAGUUCAGGGUGGUGAUUGCUCUGACGAAGAACCUGUUCUUGAGUCUGUUUGUUCUGGCAACCGUGUAAAACAAGUGAUUGGCAACUUUAGUUAAGAUCACACGCUCAUGGGCUCCAUUUCAGAUACAGAUGUCAAUGCUGGAUUGAUUGGGGAGGCGGAUAUUGGAGGUAAAGGUGUUAUUGGAGCUCGCAUACCAAUACGCAGAAGGACGUGGAGAAAUGAGAGGAGGUGCAGGGGCCUAUACACUAGGGUUCUUUUGUAAAACAUUUACACCUGUGUUAGAAUUAUUAACCUUAAUAAAACAUUUACAGUCAUGUCAGAGUUAUUGACCUUAAUAAAAUAAGUUUUUUGUUUUUUUUAAACUGGAUUUUAUUGAACAAUAAAAUGUCUAGUAAUGAUUAUUUUAGAGAUUUAAAUGCAGCUUUAGCCUUGUUAGAGGGUGAAAAUAGAGAGAACGCUAGUCAAUCCAAUCCUGAAAUCAUCUCUUUGACUCCUGUUAUUGAUGCUGUGAACUCUUUCAACUGGCUACAACUAUUGGACCCCCAACUCUCCCCGUGUUGAUAAUACAUGAGAUAACCCUAUUGAACCCCCUCAAAAUCAGACACCCAGUCAUGAUACAUUUGAUGUUUUUGAUGCUAUCGAUAAUGUUCUAGCUCAAUUACAGUCUAACCAACAACCUAUACCGUCUGAAUUAAUAGCCUGUUAAAGCAGAGACCCCGUGAAAAUCCCUGUCCUUACUGUAAGGACGGCAAUUGCAGUGAGAUCAGCAAAUGCACUGGGCUUGACAUGCAUGGAGUUCUGCUCCUGAUUUAUACUGUGUGUAGUUAAGUUAUAGUUUUAUUAAAAAGGCCCAUCAAGGCCAAACUG